rnacentral:rRNA from 1 species
GACGAACGCUGGCGGCGUGCUUAACACAUGCAAGUCGAACGGAAAGGCCCUGCUUUUGUGGGUUGCUCGAGUGGCGAACGGGAGAGUAACACGUGAGUAACCUGCCCUUGACUUUGGGAUAACUUCAGGAAACUGGGGCUAAUACCGGAUAGGAGCUCCUGCUGCAUGGUGGGGGUUGGAAAGUUUCGGCGGUUGGGGAUGGACUCGCGGCUUAUCAGCUUGUUGGUGGGGUAGUGGCUUACAAAGGCUUUGACGGGUAGCCGGCCUGAGAGGGUGACCGGCCACAUUGGGACUGAGAUACGGACCAGACUCCUACGGGAGGCAGCAGUGGGGAAUAUUGCACAGUGGGCGGAAGCCUGAUGCAGAAACGCCGCGUGCGGGAUGACGGCCUUCGGGUUGUAAACCGCUUUCGCCUGAGACGAAGCGUGAGUGACGGUAAUGGGUAAAGAAGCACCGGCUAACUACGUG